rnacentral:rRNA from 1 species
UUUCGGUGUGUAAACUCCUUUUAUAUGGAAAGAUUAAUGACGGUACCAUAUGAAUAAGGCACCGGCUAACUCCGUGCCCAGCAGCCGCGGUAAUACGGAGGGUGCAAGCGUUACUCGGAAUCACUGGGCGUAAAGCGCAUGCAGGCGGUUUAAUAAGUUGGAAGUGAAAGCCUAUGGCUCAACCAUAGAACUGCUUCCAAAACUGUUAGACUAGAGUCUGGGAGGGGAAGAUGGAAUUAGUAGUGUAGGGGUAAAAUCCGUAGAGAUUACUAGGAAUACCAAAAGCGAAGGCGAUCUUCUGGAACAGUACUGACGCUGAGAUGCGAAAGCGUGGGGAGCAAACAGGAUUAGAUACCCUGGUAGUCCACGCAGUAAACGAUGAAUGUUAGUCGUUGGUGUCCUAGAGACAUCAGUGAUGCAGUUAACACAUUAAACAUUCCGCCUGGGGAGUACGGUCGCAAGAUUAAAACUCAAAGGAAUAGACGGGGACCCGCACAAGUGGUGGAGCAUGUGGUUUAAUUCGAAGAUACGCGAAGAACCUUACCUAGCCUUGACAUAUUUUAGAACUCAGCAGAGAUGUAGAGGUACCUUCGGGAGCUAAUAUACAGGUGCUGCACGGCUGUCGUCAGCUCGUGUCGUGAGAUGUUGGGUUAAGUCCCGCAACGAGCGCAACCCUCGUCACUAGUUACUAACGAUUCGGUCGAGGACUCUAGUGAGACUGCCUUCGUAAGGAGGAGGAAGGUGAGGACGACGUCAAGUCAUCAUGGCCCUUACGGCUAGGGCAACACACGUGCUACAAUGGUUAGGACAAUGAGAGGCGAUACCGCGAGGUGGAGCAAAUCUAUAAACCUAAUCUCAGUUCGGAUUGUAGUCUGCAACUCGACUACAUGAAGCUGGAAUCACUAGUAAUCGUAGAUCAGCUAUGCUACGGUGAAUACGUUCCCGGGUCUUGUACUCACCGCCCGUCACACCAUGGGAGUUGAUUUCACCCGAAGCGGGGAAGCUAAACUGGCUACCCUCCAUGGUGGAAUUAGCGACUGGGGUGAAGUCGUAACAAGGUAAC